ACGGGGCUAAACCAUGCACCGAAGCUGCGGCAGCGACGUUUAUGCGUUGUUGGGUAGGGGAGCGUUCUGUAAGCCUGCGAAGGUGGCCUGUGAGGGUUGCUGGAGGUAUCAGAAGUGCGAAUGCUGACAUAAGUAACGAUAAAGCGGGUGAAAAGCCCGCUCGCCGGAAGACCAAGGGUUCCUGUCCAACGUUAAUCGGGGCAGGGUGAGUCGACCCCUAAGGCGAGGCCGAAAGGCGUAGUCGAUGGGAAACGGGUUAAUAUUCCCGUACUUGGUGUUACUGCGAAGGGGGGACGGAGAAGGCUAUGUUGGCCGGGCGACGGUUGUCCCGGUUUAAGCGUGUAGGCUGGUUUUCCAGGCAAAUCCGGAAAAUCAAGGCUGAGGCGUGACGACGAGGCACUACGGUGCUGAAGCAACAAAUGCCCUGCUUCCAGGAAAAGCCUCUAAGCAUCAGGUAACAUCAAAUCGUACCCCAAACCGACACAGGUGGUCAGGUAGAGAAUACCAAGGCGCUUGAGAGAACUCGGGUGAAGGAACUAGGCAAAAUGGUGCCGUAACUUCGGGAGAAGGCACGCUGACAC
rnacentral:rRNA from 1 species